UACGUAGGGUGCGAGCGUUGUCCGGAAUUACUGGGCGUAAAGCGCGCGUAGGCGGUUCGAUAAGUCGGAUGUGAAAGCCCUGGGCUCAACCUGGGAAUGCCAUUCGAUACUGUCGAGCUAGAGUAUGGUAGAGGAAAGCGGAAUUCCACAUGUAGCGGUGAAAUGCGUAGAUAUGUGGAGGAACAUCAGUGGCGAAGGCGGCUUUCUGGACUAAUACUGACGCUGAGGUGCGAAAGCGUGGGGAGCAAACAGG
rnacentral:rRNA from 1 species